rnacentral:lncRNA from 1 species
GCGGAGCAAGCCAUGGUGAGCAAGGCAGCGCUCUUCCAUGGCUUCUGCAUCAAUCCUUGUCUCCAGGUUCCUGCCCUGACUUCCGUCAUUGAUGGGCUUGUGACACGGAGGAUCCUUGCAUUUCAAAGCUCCAGGGAACUGGAAGUGUGUCAGAAGACAAGCAGGAGGGACCUGCAGUGUGAUGGAGAAGGUGAUUGAACGUUGGAUGAAGACUUCUCUUUCCACGUGUUGCUAUCUGGAGAGGCCAUACAACUUGCCCUGUUGAUAGAAUAAGGAAGGUUCUCUAAGAACCAGCUUCGUGCUUCUUGACCUCAUUGGGUGGCCCUAUCAGUCUGGAUCUUAAAGUGAACACAACGUGCUAAUCUGCAACAGGAGCCACAACUUGAUAGGGAUGGAGAAUAGGCAUGUUUUGUAAAACCGCUGUUUCUUGGUUGCUUGAUACUGCAAUGUGACUCCCCUCGCCCCCCAUGAAUACAAAGCAAUGAUUCUGUCUCUUAACAUCCACGUUUGUCCAUGGAGCAGCUGGAGACAGCUGUUCUGGAGAGCAAGUGGUCAACGUGUAGACCUCGCUGGCCCCGUAGGGUUAUAAUGAAAUGAAGGCUGAUGAGGAGAAGCAGGUGCCACAGCAGCAGCAGCAGCAGCAGCAGCAGCAGUGUAGUGAGAGAUUAGUAAGAAGUAAUCCUUGCCUGCCUAGAAACAGGCUGAACCUAAGUGUUGGGGGGAGCCAGGCUCCUCUGAUUGUUUAAGAGGACAGCUCAGGAUCAUGCUGGCCAUUUGAGUGAGUUUCCUAGGUGGUAUCUGGGAAGGUCGUCAACAAGGGAGUUGUUACAGCAUUCUGUGCCCCAGAUAUGAAAAUGAUUGGCAUGUCUGGACAUGUAACUGCUGCCGUGGUGAUGCGCCUGGAGCUGGCUCUCCAGGGCAUGCACUGGGCUCUGCAGGAGGCAGGAGCCGCAUUAGUACCUGUCAAGUGCAGGACACACAGGCUAGCUUUAAUGGGCGAGCUCAAUCUGAGCUGGACCAGAUACAUCCUAUCACCCUCCCCUUCUGCAGUCACCCUGCCUAGGAGACAUAUAAAUCAUAGCCAGUGACCUAAUAAAAUAAUAGAGUUUGUCUGAGUUUUGACAGCAGAAAAUAAUAGAGGACCUCAAAUUCAGAGGGAGAGAAAUAGGAGGCUUUUAAAAACUUGCUUCUUUGCCAAAACAGAGGUGAACAAAAAGUGAUAUCCGUAAGUUGUUGGUAUCCUGGAAGUCCCCAUGUAUCUAUGACACCAGAGAAACUCCAGGAAAGAGUGGGGUGAGGCGGGAUUGUUUGUAAGGUAGCACUCACUGUAUUAUGUGCGAUGCUCUCUUCCUGGCAUGGAAUUAAUUACUGGAGAUGGAGCAUCCCCCCCCCCCAUUCUUUUUUGCAUGGUGACAGUCUAAGGAGUGGGCUGUACAGCAAGCGGGUCUGAGUUUAAAUCUCAGCCCUCCCUGGUGGACAGCGCCUGGGUGCUUACUUUCUCUGAGUCAAUCUCUUCACUUGGCGCCAUGGUCAGUGAAACGAAACAAUGCAUUAAAGUGCUUGGCUUGGAGUCUGGCAUAGCUCGGA